GAUGAACGCUGGCGGCGUGCUUAACACAUGCAAGUCGAACGGGAAACCUUUUAAUGAAGCUUCGGCAGAUUUAGCUGGUUUCUAGUGGCGGACGGGUGAGUAACGCGUGGGUAACCUGCCUUAUACAGGGGGAUAGCAGUCAGAAAUGACUGCUAAUACCGCAUAAGCGCACAGGACCGCAUGGUCCGGUGUGAAAAACUCCGGUGGUAUAAGAUGGACCCGCGUUGGAUUAGCUUGUUGGUGGGGUAACGGCUCACCAAGGCGACGAUCCAUAGCCGGCCUGAGAGGGUGAACGGCCACAUUGGGACUGAGACACGGCCCAGACUCCUACGGGAGGCAGCAGUGGGGAAUAUUGCACAAUGGGGGAAACCCUGAUGCAGCGACGCCGCGUGAAGGAAGAAGUAUCUCGGUAUGUAAACUUCUAUCAGCAGGGAAGAUAGUGACGGUACCUGACUAAGAAGCCCCGGCUAACUACGUG
rnacentral:rRNA from 1 species